rnacentral:rRNA from 1 species
UGGGGAAUAUUGGACAAUGGGCGCAAGCCUGAUCCAGCCAUGCCGCGUGUGUGAAGAAGGCCUUUUGGUUGUAAAGCACUUUAAGCGAGGAGGAGGCUACUUGGAUUAAUACUCUAAGAUAGUGGACGUUACUCGCAGAAUAAGCACCGGCUAACUCUGUGCCAGCAGCCGCGGUAAUACAGAGGGUGCGAGCGUUAAUCGGAUUUACUGGGCGUAAAGCGUGCGUAGGCGGCUUCUCAAGUCGGAUGUGAAAUCCCUGAGCUUAACUUAGGAAUUGCAUUCGAUACUGGGAAGCUAGAGUAUGGGAGAGGAUGGUAGAAUUCCAGGUGUAGCGGUGAAAUGCGUAGAGAUCUGGAGGAAUACCGAUGGCGAAGGCAGCCAUCUGGCCUAAUACUGACGCUGAGGUACGAAAGCAUGGGGAGCAAACAGG